rnacentral:rRNA from 1 species
CGGGGUGAGUAAUGUAUGGGGAUCUGCCUGAUGGCGGGGGAUAACUACUGGAAACGGUAGCUAAUACCGCAUAAUGUCUGCGGACCAAAGCGGGGGACCUCCGGGCCUCGCGCCAUCAGAUGAACCCAUAUGGGAUUAGCUUGUAGGUAAGGUAACGGCUUACCUAGGCGACGAUCCCUAGCUGGUCUGAGAGGAUGACCAGCCACACUGGAACUGAGACACGGUCCAG